rnacentral:rRNA from 1 species
AUUGAACGCUGGCGGUAUGCUUAACACAUGCAAGUCGAACGGCAGCAUUUUCUAGCUUGCUAGAAAGAUGGCGAGUGGCGAACGGGUGAGUAACGCGUAGGAAUAUGCCUUAAAGUGGGGGACAACUUGGGGAAACUCAAGCUAAUACCGCAUAAUUUCCUUGGAAAAAAGCUGGGGACCUUCGGGCCUGGCGCUUUAAGAUUAGCCUGCGUACGAUUAGCUAGUUGGUAGGGUAAAGGCCUACCAAGGCGACGAUCGUUAGCUGGUCUGAGAGGAUGACCAGCCACACUGGAACUGAGACACGGUCCAGACUCCUACGGGAGGCAGCAGUGGGGAAUAUUGGACAAUGGGGGCAACCCUGAUCCAGCAAUACCGCGUGUGUGAAGAAGGCCUGAGGGUUGUAAAGCACUUUCAGUGGGGAGGAGGGUACUUAGGUUAAGAGCUAGAGUACUGGACGUUACCCACAGAAGAAGCACCGGCUAACUCCGUGCCAGCAGCCGCCGUAA